CUGACUGCCGUGUUCUAGCCACACGUGACAUGACUUAACCUCUUGGCUUCCUCAUCUAAAAAGAACGUAACAAUGGUAACAACAGCGUGAGCCAGUCUGACUAUGUGCCAGGCACUGGCUGAGCACUUUAUUUCUUUAUAUCCUCACAGCCCUAUGUGGUAAGUAAAUCAGUCUCAUUCUGCAGACGAGGAACCAGGGGCUCCGAGAGGUUAAGUGAUGUUCCUACAGUCACACAGCUGAUGCUGCUAAGCACCUACUGUGUGCCAGACACUGUCCAGGCAUGGGAUACAACAGCAAACUGCUUCCUCUCUUCCACUGCUCAGGCCUCCGUUUCCUCGUGUGAUUGAAGAAAGUGGCUCUGCGUGGUGACCCUCCUGCAGCUUCAGCCAGAGAGAAGCUAAGUGCGUGCACGUUCC